rnacentral:rRNA from 1 species
GUCUACGGCCAUGCCACCCUGAACAAGCCCAACCCCAUCUGAUCUUGGAAGCUAAGCAGGAUCGGGCCUGGUUAGUACUUGGAUGAGAGACCACAUAGGAAGACCAGGUGCUGUAGACG